rnacentral:rRNA from 1 species
CCUACGGGUGGCAGCAGUGAGGAAUAUUGGUCAAUGGGCGCGAGCCUGAACCAGCCAAGUAGCGUGAAGGAUGACUGCCCUACGGGUUGUAAACUUCUUUUAUAAAGGAAUAAAGUGAGGCACGGGUGUGUUUUUGUAUGUACUGUAUGAAUAAGGAACGGCUAACUCCGUGCCAGCAGCCGCGGUAAUACGGAGGAUGCGAGCGUUAUCCGGAUUUAUUGGGUUUAGAGGGUGCGCAGGCGGAUUUUUAAGUCAGCGGUAAAAUCGUGGGGCUCAACCCCAUCCAGCCGUUGAAACUGGGGAUCUAGAGUGUGCGAGAGGUAUGCGGAAUGCGUGGUGUAGCGGUGAAAUGCGUAGAUAUCACGCAGAACCCCGAUUGCGAAGGCAGCAUACCGGUGCACAACUGACGCUCAGGCACGAAAGCGUGGGUAUCGAACAGGAUUAGAUACCCGAGUAGUC